rnacentral:rRNA from 1 species
AACGAACGCUGGCGGCAUGCCUAACACAUGCAAGUCGAACGACACCUUCGGGUCUAGUGGCGCACGGGUGCGUAACGCGUGGGAACCUGCCCUUAGGUUCGGAAUAACUCCCCGAAAGGGGUGCUAAUACCGGAUAAUGUCUUCGGACCAAAGAUUUAUCGCCUUUGGAUGGGCCCGCGUUGGAUUAGCUAGUUGGUAGGGUAAAAGCCUACCAAGGCGACGAUCCAUAGCUGGUCUGAGAGGAUGAUCAGCCACACUGCGACUGAGACACGGCCCAGACUCCUACGGGAGGCAGCAGUGGGGAAUAUUGGACAAUGGGCGAAAGCCUGAUCCAGCAAUGCCGCGUGAGUGAUGAAGGCCUUAGGGUUGUAAAGCUCUUUUACCCGGGAUGAUAAUGACAGUACCGGGAGAAUAAGCUCCGGCUAACUCCGUG